UACGUAGGGUGCGAGCGUUGCCCGGAUUUAUUGGCGUAAAGGGCGCGUAGGCGGCCACGCACGUCCGUUGUGAAAUCGCCCGGACUCAACUGGGCGGGGUCGGCGGAUACGCGUGGCUGAGCAAGCUGAGGGGCAAUGGAAUUCCGGUGUAGUGGUGGAAUGCGUAGAUAUCGGGAGGAACACCAGUGCGAAGGCGGUUGCCUGGAGCUUUGCGUGACUGACCUGACGGCGGAGGAAAGCGAAUGG
rnacentral:rRNA from 1 species